GAUGAACGCUGGCGGCGUGCCUAAUACAUGCAAGUCGAGCGAACGGACGAGAAGCUUGCUUCUCUGAUGUUAGCGGCGGACGGGUGAGUAACACGUGGCUAACCUACCUAUAAGACUGGGAUAACUUCGGGAAACCGUAGCUAAUACCGGAUAAUAUUUUGAACCGCAUGGUUCAAAAGUGAAAGACGGUCUUGCUGUCACUUAUAGAUGGAUCCGCGCUGCAUUAGCUAGUUGGUAAGGUAACGGCUUACCAAGGCAACGAUGCAUAGCCGACCUGAGAGGGUGAUCGGCCACACUGGAACUGAGACACGGUCCAGACUCCUACGGGAGGCAGCAGUAGGGAAUCUUCCGCAAUGGGCGAAAGCCUGACGGAGCAACGCCGCGUGAGUGAUGAAGGUCUUCGGAUCGUAAAACUCUGUUAUUAGGGAAGAACAUAUGUGUAAGUAACUGUGCACAUCUUGACGGUACCUAAUCAGAAAGCCACGGCUAACUACGUG
rnacentral:rRNA from 1 species